UCACCUGUAUGAACAACAUUAAAAACUACAUUUAAUAAAAUUGAAUUAAUAUUAAUAACAGAGUUAAUCAAAUAAACAAUUUAAUAAAAAAGUUAUGCUAAAAAAUAGCAUAAAAUGUUUUUGUUAGGAACAGGAGAACCAUUAUGUAGGAUGGCAGCAAUGAAUCUGCAAAGGAAAAAAGUAAAACCAAAAGAGGAGGCAGCAUAUUUUACAUCUGUUUGUAAAGACAAAGACGGGUUUGAUGUAAAAUAUAUAUAAAUUGAGAAAAAGGUAUGAACUUAAAGUUUGUCAAUAAAUAUGCAAUAAGCAACACAAACUUUCAGGACUGUAAAAUCUUAGCCUAACAUGUUCUCUUUUUUGUAGGCCGUGGGGUAUUCAGCUGUGUCCAUUUUGAUAAGGGAGAUUUCUUAUUUGAAUACAGAGGGGACCUGAUAAGCAAACAUGAAUCUGAAAACAGACAGAAAUUAUAUCAUGAUGCACUGAAAGUAUUCAUGUUUGAAUUCCGCUACAAUGGAAAGCUCUUUUGUGUUGAUGCUUCUCUGGAUGAUGGCUCUCUGGGGAGACUUGUAAAUGAUGAUCAUCUUAACCCAAACAGCAAAAUGAGAACAAUAACAACAGUGGGGAAACCCCAUCUGUGUUUAUUUGCAACAAGAAGCAUAAAUCCUGGAGAAGAGAUUACAUACAAUUACGGUGACUCUGAGUGGCCAUGGAGAUGCAAGAUAGUCAAUGAAAGAGACCAACUGCAUCCCCAAGAGCAGACGUCCAACACAAUAUCUGAGGUACGUUGGGAAGUGUGAACAUAAUUUAUUUUGAAUAACUGGCACCCAUUUUAACUGAAUUUAGCUAGUCUGUGUAUUUAAGCUGUGUAUGUCUUAGACCUGUCUUGUGAGUACAGUGUGUUCAACAAGGACAUGCAUCAGAUUUGCAGUCACAGUUAGUGUCUGUGUGUAUCAACAUGUGUGACAGAAACAUUCUACAUGAGGACUUAAGUACUUACUAGGACUGGAUUGUUUACUGGGAGUUUGUGUGUUACUGGGUGUG